GACAGAGGGUGCAAACGUUGUUCGGAAUUACUGGGCGUAAAGCGAGUGUAGGCGGUUUGGUAAGUCGGAUGUGAAAGCCCCGGGCUCAACCCGGGAAGUGCACUCGAUACUGCCAAGCUAGAGUAUCGGAGAGGUUGGUGGAAUUCUCGGUGUAGAGGUGAAAUUCGUAGAUAUCGAGAGGAACACCGGUGGCGAAGGCGGCCAACUGGACGAAUACUGACGCUGAGGCACGAAAGCGUGGGGAGCGAACCGG
rnacentral:rRNA from 1 species